CAAUUAUGCAUUACCUCAAUGCAUGUAUAUACAGGUGGUAAUACCAGUGUGGUUGUGUAAGUUGCAAAUAACAAUGUUUCGCGUCGUGUUACUUCUAUUUGGCAUAUUUUCUCUGGGUAACACGAACGAGGUUGAAAACACACAGAAGACUAUACAAAUUCUUAAACUUAUAAUGAGACUCGGAAACUUUUUACCGUCUGAAGAUGACUACGAAGACGAAUAUGAUGAUGAUGAUGAGGAGGAGGAGGAAGACCAUGACGAGAAAGAUGAAACUACGACGCAAGCUACAACGACCACGACAGAAAAUAACAAUUGUAAGGCCAGUAGGAAAGGACGGACUUGUCAACUUAUAACGUGCGCCAACAUCGUAGAGGGCCAAGCAUGUGAUAAUGGCAACCCCUGCUGUCAACUGUAAGUCUGACAAUGCUCGACAAUGUGCAUUAAGGCGGCAAGUAUACGUACAGGCGAUCACCUUGCGUCAACUAUAACGACCUGGUGUGUGAUCAAGGAGCUCACGCGUGUGAACUACUUCGUGUUAAGUAAAAGUCGUUAUCGGGUG